AUAACCUUAAAUGGACAGGUUCUUACUAGUAUUAAUAUCAUUAACAAUCAACUUAGUUUACUACUCUAUUGAGAUUUUAUUCUAGUAACUUAUGCCAUACAUCUGCAUGAUACCGGUAAGAGUUCAACUCUUCAGUAUUAUUUUGGACAUGUGACAUCAACCUACUCUGAAAUAUCGUCAAAGAUGUACAUACUGCCGUGCAUGGAUAGCCAUAAAGCAAAAACCCUUUUGUCUUGGCUCAUUUAUUUCAGCACCACCGUCUUCUUUGGCUUUGCUGUAUUGUAGAAAAUGUAAUUUUGGUUUACAUCUGCUCGACAGAGUUCAUUUAAUUGUCCUUGCUAUCGCCAUAAAAGUUUUCAGCAUCCUAAUUGGCAUAUUUGGGUGUGUAACAACUUAAAUUACAGUGCUAGAAGAUGUUAGAUUUCCCCUUCACCUGCACACAAUAAACCCAACAAUACAAGAAUUCCGAGAAAAUACAGGCUAAGGCUGCUCUGUUCUUAUACAUACAUACAUAAAUACAUACGUACACACACAUAUAUAUAUAGAUGUGCUUCACGGAAAAGUUGAAGCAAGUUUCUCAAUUACAAUGUAAAAUGAUUAGCAACAAACUUAGAAACAUUGAGCAAAUAAGAAAUCCCAGAGCUGAGCUAUCCUUUCCUUGCUCCCACUCAAUUUCUUCACACCCUUCCGUACACCCAAAACCCCUACUAAAACCCUUGCUCACUGCCACAGUUUCUUCACACUGAAAGAGCUCACCUUUCCCUUUCAUUUCUGGGAAAGUUCAUUUAUUUUGCCACCAUAGGUAAUUACCUCUACUGGUUCGUGAGAAAUAAUUUAUGUAAGCCGAUUCUCUGUUGUAUUUGCAUAACCCUUUUUUUCCUUGAUUUUGACCUUGCUACUGUGUAGAUUCCUCUGGAACCAUCUUAGGUGGCAUUUCAUUUGCCCAAUGUCUUCAAUAUUUAGGUAGUAAAGACAAUUUCUCUAUUAGGCUUGUUGACAGCUGAAGCAGUAUUUGUGUUUAUGGAAUAGAGAUUGUCAACAAAAUACUAUUUCUUAAGUUGGGCCAUAUCAGCAAAAGGGGUCUAUUUUUAUUUCUUAGUCAGGUCUUACUGGAUGUAAAAGAAAAAAAAAAUCAAGAGUUUAAAUUGACUUGCAUUAUGAGGUUGGAAGAUACAGACUUUUAUACUGCUGGUUCACAUUCCCCCUUGUGGUGUUGACCUAUGUCUAUCACCUAGUUACCUUCCCUCGUGGUUCUCAUUUCCCGGGUAAGAAUUUACCUAAGGUCCGGAGAUGGGGUUAGACAAAUGAAACUCAAUAAACCCAAAAUCUCUGCGAGAAAAGUUUAUGUAAGCUCUGCCCCUAUCUUUGUUUUAGAUAAUUUCAUGGGGAAAAGCCUCUUGACUAGUGCUUUUCUGGUCUGUACUUUAUUUCUCUUAGAAAUAAUGCUUCUAUAGCUGGCUUUUUGACGCAAAGCAUGGAAAUUUUUUAUGAUAAUACUUCAAGAUGUGAUUUUAUUAAUGAAUAUGGGAGCCUUUUAUAGGCUGAAAGUUUAAUAAGGAUUAAUUAUGAGUUAGUUAUUUUUUAACUAAGUCAAGAUACGAGAAUGAUAAACCUAAACUAAAAUCAAGAAACUUAAGAAAUAGCUAAAGAAGCAUCAAGAACUUAGAAACGUCAAGAAUGUAAGAUGUUCUACAUCAGAUCCCUCUCCUAAGAAAAAACUCGUCCUCGAGUGCAUAUUAGGGAGCCAAAGAAAAGGAAUCAGAAGCAUGGUAAGGAGAAAGAUAAAAAACGUUGAAUGAUGGGGCUGAUUCUCAUGGUAGCUGGAAGGUCUAAACGGUAUGCAUUUGGUCCAGGCCUCUCCAAUAUUUGAAACGGACCAAUGCGCUUGUUGGUCAUUUUAGAAUGAUGACCAGCAGGGAAGCGUGAUUUGUGAAGGUAUGCCCUAACAAGGUCACCCACUUGAUACUCCUUAAGACACUUGUGAGAGUUAGCGGCUGUUUUGUAAGAAUCAUUAGCGAGCUCUAGAUGAUUCUUUACUUCUUGGUGCAGCUUGGAAAUACGGUCAGCCAUGGCUUCAGCCUCCAUACUGACAUCAACAAUAGAGGGAAGAUGAGCUAAAUCAAAAGUAACCGAGGGAGACUAGAUAUACAACCUCAAAUGGAGACUUUCCUGUUGAGCGAUUUUCCAUGUGGUUGAAGGCGAAUUCAGCUCGAGGCAAUGCUAAGUCCCAUUUUUUAGGCUUGUCCCCGCUAUGGCAUCAAAUGAGGUUGCCAAGAGUACGAUUAGUCACCUCUGUUUGGCCGUCAGUUCGGGGGUGGCUGUCAGUACUAAACAGUAAAUUGGUGUCAAAUUUGUUCCAUAAGGACCUCCAAAAGUGGCUCAAGAACUUGACAUCACGAUCCGAGACUAUUGUUUUAUGAAUUUCAUGUAAUCUAACAAUUUCUCGGAAAAACAGAUUAGCAAUAUUCAAAGCAUCAAAAGUUUUUUUGCAAGGGAUAAAAUGAGCCAUCGAAAACUACCUUUCUUUAAACAAUUUGUCAAGGGGGCUACAUUAGCGCUGAAAUUCCUUAUAAACCUUCUAUAAAAGGAAGCUAAGCCUAAAAUACAUUGAAUAUCUUUUGGAGUUUUUGGUUGGGGCCAAAAACUAAUAGAAUCAAUCUUUUUACAGUCAACAACAAUACCAUUUGAACUUAUGAUAAAGCCAAGAAAAUGAAUGCUAUAACACAAAAAAUCACACUUUUUAGGGUUCAUUUGCGGCUCAUUUUCUUGUAAGGCAGUAAAAAGUAACUGGAGGUGUUUGAGAUGGUCUUCUUUAGUAGAGCUAUAGAUAAGUAUGUCAUCAAAGUAUACCACAAUGAAUUGGUUCAAAAAAGGUCGGAGGAUUUGGUUCAUUAGAUGCAUAAAGGUGUUAGGGCAUUUGAGAGAUCAAAAGGCAUAACUAACCAUUCGAACAACCCUUCAUUGGUCUUAAAAGCUGUUUUCCACUCAUCCCCUGGUUUAGUUCUAAUUUGGUGGUAGCCACCCUUAAAAUCUACUUUAGAAAAGAUAGAGGCAUUACCUAAUUGGUCAAGGAGGUUGGAAAAACGAGGAAUGGGGAACCUAUAUUUGACUGUGAUUUUGUUGAUGGCUCUACUAUCAACACAAAAUCCCCAACUGCCAUCUUUUUUUGGUGCAAGUAAAGCUAGGACAACACAAGGACUUAAGCUCAGUUAGAUAUGACCUUUGCUAAGGAGUUCUUCUAUUUGUUCAUGUAGAAUUUGGUAAGGUGCUACCGGGCAUUAAGUCUAUUGUGUGUUGUAUAUUUCUAAGGGGUGGCAAAGAAGUGGUUGAUUCUGUGAUUUUUGGGAAUUUGGUUAGAAGGUGAGUAAUCUCAAUAGGUAGGUUAGCUUAUGUAGCUUGAUUUUUGAUUGGAAUGUCAUCCUUCUUGAUGGGCCUUGAAGGUGUGGAUGAGCUUCCUUGUUGAAAAUUUCUGAACGAGUCAAUUGGAUUAGUUCUUUGUUGUUGUUUAUCCUGAUUGUUCUUUCCUUGAUAAGUCUUGGUUUUUUGAUUUCGCCACUCUCUCCAAUCUUGGACACCAAAGAAAUAGCAUCCAAAAGAAAAGUAAGGGGAUGUAAAUUGACAAUAUCUUUAAUUUCAUCAUCCAACCUGUGAACAAAUCUAGAAAUUUGUUGGUGUUCAGUUUCAGGAAGAUUGUUGCGAGCGCCUAAUGUAGAACUCUUCUGUGUAAUCCAUGAUAUUUCAAGAGCCUUGGUGACACUGUUGAUAUUGAUUGUAGAGUAGUUGUUGGUAGUUGAUUAGCAGAAAUCGUUUUUCCACGAGCCUUAACAUCUUUGGCCACCUUCUAAUAGGUUGUUUACCAAAUAACCACAUGUUAUUUUGUAGUUGAUCCCACCAAGCACUAGCGCCACCUUGGAGCUUGAAUGCCACCAACCAGACUUUCUUGUGUUUUGGGGUAUUGGCGUAGUAAAAAAAAAUCUACAUUCUUGAUCCAAUCAAGAAAUUUUUCCACAUCCAUUCGGCCAUUGAAAGUAGGAAGAUCCACUUUCAUUCUUAUUUCUUGGUCUUCUUGAAAUUGUGGUCUAAAGCCGAGUCCUCUUUGCAGAUCUUGAUGAAUAUUCAGCAGAUUGUCUUCAUCGAAAGAGUCGGAAUCAUCUAACAUGUAGCCUGGUUGAAUUGCUUCUUCUAAAAGUUGUACAUGAAUUCGAGUAAUGAGGCUAGUCAAAUCUACCAUUGAUUGUUGCAUAUCCGAUUGUCCCUUUCGGAGUUCUUCAAUGGCUUGUUCCACCAACUGCAAGCGUCGGUUUACGGAGGUUUCCGCGUCCAUGGUUCAGAAUGGUGAGAUCCAAGUUUCUUUGGAAGGAAGUGAGCUAAGAUUGAGUUCUCUGAUACCAAUUGAUGCAAAGCAUGAAAAGUUUUAUUAAUGAAUAUGGAAGCCUUUUAUAGGCUGAAAGUUUAACAAGAAUUAGUUACGAGGUAGCUUUUUUUGAACUAACUCAAGAUGCAAGAAUAAUAAACCUAGACUAAAAUCAAGAAACUUAAGAAAUAGCUAAAGAGGCAUCAAGACCUUAAAGAAACAUCAAGAAUGUAAGAUGUUCUACAUCACUUUUAGAUGCCCCAAUAAUAAAUUUGGGAUCAUGGGCUGAGAAGGGGACUGUUUGAUUGGGAGAUGGGGACAAGAUAAAUUUGGGAUCAUGGGCUGAGAAGGGGACUGUUUGAUUGGGAGAUGGGGACAAGAUAAAUUUGGGAUCAUGGGCUGAGAAGGGGACUGUUUGAUUGGGAGAUGGGGACAAGAUAAACAGUUUGGUGUGGGUUUUGGCCAAGACAAAAUCAGGUGGUCUGAUUGGAGUUUAGAACACUAUUUGGGUGCUUGUUUUUUGACACCAUCCUACUCUUGAGAAAGACCACCUACCGAUCUACAAAAUUUUGUCCAGCCACUAGAUCACCCCCACACAGCAUACUGGCCUGCAAAUCAUUUGCAUUUAACAUUUUUAAAAGAAAAGGAUAAAAUAAAGUUAAAAUAAAAUUAAAAAAAAACCCUCUCAUUUCUCUUUCAGUAUCCAUAUAUACUUUUUUAGACACGAGAAUUCAAGGAAGGCUGGCAUAUUUGUUAAGAAUGCAUCAGUUUUCUGCUAGAUAUAAAUAGGAUGCAUGUUUUGCUCUUUUACAGUGUGUUCAAAUCUUCUAUUACAAUAUGUUCGAAACGUCUCUCACGGAGCAGUGAUCAUACAUUUUAGCUGAUUGAAUCCCUUUCAAAUAUACAACUGAACAGUGAACUGCCUUGAUCUUUGAAAUUAUUGUUUUUCACAUUAUUUUCAGAAUGAAACCACUCCUAUUCUGAGCUCUUUUCAUUUUCA